AACGAACGCUGGCGGCAUGCCUAACACAUGCGAGUCGAACGAGAUCUUCGGGUCUAGUGGCGCACGGGUGCGUAACGCGUGGGAAUCUGCCCUUUGGUUCGGAAUAACAGUUGGAAACGACUGCUAAUACCGGAUGAUGACGAAAGUCCAAAGAUUUAUCGCCAGAGGAUGAGCCCGCGUAGGAUUAGCCAGUUGGUGUGGUAAAGGCGCACCAAGGCGACGAUCCUUAGCUGGUCUGAGAGGAUGAUCAGCCACACUGGGACUGAGACACGGCCCAGACUCCUACGGGAGGCAGCAGUGGGGAAUAUUGGACAAUGGGCGGAAGCCUGAUCCAGCAAUGCCGCGUGAGUGAUGAAGGCCUUAGGGUUGUAAAGCUCUUUUACCCGGGAUGAUAAUGACAGUACCGGGAGAAUAAGCUCCGGCUAACUCCGUGCCAGCCGCCGCCGUAA
rnacentral:rRNA from 1 species